rnacentral:rRNA from 1 species
UACGGAGGGUGCAAGCGUUGUUCGGAAUUACUGGGCGUAAAGCGCGCGCAGGCGGAUGUUCAAGUCAGAAGUGAAAUCUCGCAGCUCAACUGCGAGGCUGCUUCUGAGACUGUACGUCUGGAGACUGGUAGAGGCUGGUAGAAUUCCCGGUGUAGCGGUGGAAUGCGUAGAUAUCGGGAAGAAUACCCGUGGCGAAGGCGGCCAGCUGGGCCAGAUCUGACGCUGAGGCGCGAAAGCGUGGGGAGCAAACAGG